UACGUAGGGCGCAAGCGUUGUCCGGAAUUAUUGGGCGUAAAGAGCUCGUAGGCGGCCUGUCGCGUCGGUUGUGAAAGCCCGGGGCUCAACCCCGGGUCUGCAGUCGAUACGGGCAGGCUAGAGUUCGGUAGGGGAGAUCGGAAUUCCUGGUGUAGCGGUGAAAUGCGCAGAUAUCGGAAAGAACACCAACGGCGAAAGCACUCUGCUGGGCCGACACUGACACUGAGAGACGAAAGCUAGGGGAGCGAAUGGG
rnacentral:rRNA from 1 species